rnacentral:lncRNA from 1 species
ACUCCUCGUCUCACCCAUGAGAGCGAGCUGCCUUCUGUCUGGUUGGGCGAUUCCUGCAGGGCCUGAGCCUCCGCAGAGCCCGGCGUUCAAGGAGAAAAAAGGAGCCGCGGAUGGCCCAUGUUCUAGAACUACAUCCUCGGUCACUGUCCCAGUACAGCCAUCUGUAGCACCUCCUCAGUAACUGACGGUGAUGUUCCUUUCCCUACGCUGUUUAUACCAUCAGCCUGGGGUUUUCUUUGGAGGUGACACAAAGAACAAUAAGAAUGUAAGGUCAUCUAGGCAAGAAACCUGUCUUUCCACUCCUCUGCAUGA